UAUCACACUAUUUACUGUAACAAGUUCCCAUAUCAAAAUUAAAAUAUUCGUGUCAUGCAAAAUUUGUUCCUCAGGUACCUAAAUACCUAGAACUACAAUAAAAUACCAGUUUUAUACGACCGCACCCAAAACAACGGAAUUUCCGAAACAAACUGACCUGGUGACGAAAGUGGCAACUCAUCUGUUUACGAUGUAAAUUCAUUUUUACUAUUUCAUUCAUUUUUCGUGUGCGCUGUUGGCUAACAGAGAUCUCGAGCUUUAUAGUCGUUUUUUUGUGAUUAUUUGAUUGUUUUUAACGUUUUUUGUGUUGUUUUGGACUAUUAAGACUUAAUACCAUGACUAAAAAGUGUCACGUGUGCCAAAGAACGAGUACUACGUCGGAAAAUGUAUAUUUUCAUAGAUUUCCAUCUGAACCUGCUGAAUAAACCAAUUACCAAAAUCUGCACUGAUUUGCUCUGAACAUUUUAAGUCAUCCGACUUUUUUCAGAGUCGAGAUGACAAAAAAUGUCUUAAGCCAGGUUCCCUUCCAAAGUUAGUAGGAUCUCUUUAUGAUAGUUCUUCGACUAGCUUAUCAUCUCAAAGUUUUAACAUCAGUUUGUCACCUUGUGGAUCCAAGCUUACAGAAAAUGAGCCGGUCGCUCGUAAUGUUACUGCGAAAUGUUCACCAGAUAUUAAUCAUGAAUUAUCCUGCAUACCUGGCCCUUCAGAAAUGAUACAGAGAUCAUCACCUACAUCUUCUAGGACAGCUACUGCCUCUGAAGCUGAAUCAGAGGCCUGUACUAGUGUUUCAGCUGAUCAUUCCACAUUACAGCCCAAGGCAGUUGACGGAGAUAGCCUUCCUGAAGCUAAGGAGGCACUGGUGUUUAUGGUGGUACCCAUCAAUGAUUCUUGAAAAGUGCCUGUUGGGUAUUUUUUUUCUAAAUGGGCUUGAAUCUGCUGCUAAAGCAGACUUAGUAAUUAAUUGUAUCAGAUUAAUACUGUGAUGACAGUAAUACUGUGAAUUUAUUUAUGUGAAUAAAUUUAUAUAUUAUUUUAGAAAAUCUUUGGUU